rnacentral:lncRNA from 10 species
GGUGUGACGUCAUAGUACUAAGUGUUGGAGAUCAUUGUAAACAAGCCUUUGAAAGAUUACUUAAGAUUUCCCUGCAGUAAAUACCUAACGAAGAUCACCAAUAUACACAUGCAAGAUGAAUGGAAAAGCCAAUGGACCUAGUGGUAUGCAAAUGAGUAUUUGUGGCUUGCGGAAAAAGCCUGACAUUGAUACUCUGAUACACAGAUUAAAGUGUUGUAUCUCUAAAAACUUAGGUGGACAUGAAUGUAAUAUGCUCUGGAAAACUGUUAGAUGACACAAAAAUUAGCUCCAGUGCUUCUAGAAACACCAAUGUCAGAGAUACGCGUGAAGUUUCAAUAGAAUUGUUUUACAAAAUGAGAUAGUGGGGAGGAAAAGCAAAGUAUCAUACCUGAAGAGAUUAUUCUGCAUCAUCUACAAUUUGAAUAUAUCUGUAUAACUAAACAAAUUAAAUUUCAU